rnacentral:lncRNA from 1 species
UCGGGGUAAAUAGUCAAUGUACUCGUGUACACAAGGACGAGUACAUUAACAUACAUGCUCUGCGGCGGUUACAAGGGAAGGAAAGACCAUUUCUCCGACCAUGUGAUCUUAUCAUCUCUUUUAAUUAUUCAUAUCAACUUCUACUUUGAUUCAGGAUAUUACAAAUUAGUGUUAAUCGGUCUUAAAUACAAGGGAAAGAAUGUGUUUACGAUGACGAAGACAGAGAUCCCAGCGCAAGGAUCAGAUCUUCAAGAGAAUGCCGGCGAUCUCAAGAUAUUGCCGCUCACUCCCUCCGUGUUCCUUUCCUUUGUGUGCGGUACCCGUAUUCUUGUGGUGGGAUAUUCUGAAUUCGUGUCACCAUAGUCUGCAAUAGUAUUACAUGAGGGUGGGAGAAGGCAAGAACGAGGCUUCAGUGGAUUGGUGGCGGUUAGUGUAUUGACUGUUGUUGCUUUGGCAGCGUAGAUGAAGCAGAACUGGAUGGAUUUCACAAGAAGGAAUCAAGUUAAUUCAAGAAAGUGGGCAAAUAAUGGCAAUUCUUAUCCAGUUUGAAAUCUCUGUUUCAGAUCAUUGUCACCCAUCAUCGCUAAACGAGAAUUGUUUAGGUAAGUCCCGUGUGAAGAAGGCCAUGGGCUAAGGUAUUAUAUUAAUAUUAUAUCACACACUAUUUUAUUUAUCGUGCACUAAGCCGGGGGUCUUUACGGAAACAGCCUCUCUACUUUAAGGGUAGGGGCAAGGCUGCGUAUAUCUUACCGUCCUCAGACCCUGCUCUAAGCGGGAUAUACUGAGUAGGUUUGGUUUGGUUAGUCAAUGUACUCGUGUUCAAGUUAAAUAAUUAGAAUUUGCAGAACACCACAUUAGGUGUUUUAAUAAUUAGGAUUCCUAAAUAUCCUUUCAUUGGACUUGCGUUUAUUGGUUUUGAUUCUGAUAGAUGGUGGAUUUGAAACUGGCUCUUGUGCAUACCACAUGUUUAAUGGCCAAGUGUUACCAUUUCGAAUUUACCAGGUGUAUGGGAAAAUUUUUACCAUACACCGUGAUAAUUUUUUUACCGGUCUUCAUUAUCAACCUACUUUACGGAAACGCUAUACAUGUAAUAAAUCGACUGAAUAAGCAUAUAAUAGCUUGAAUUGUGACUGGAUCUUAUCUUACUGAUCUCAGCUCAUGUGGUUGAAUCAAGGUAUAGUUUAAUUCAUAAAAGAGCAUGAGACAACCACCUAUCGACCAUAGCCAAGCAUUCUUCUGGCUUGAAUGCUGGAGCAGUGUGGCCUGCACCCUACAAAACAACAAAAUUUAAGAACAAACCAACAAGGUUGACACAUGAUAUAUCCAAUGUACUUGUAGUGUCAUCUAAAAGUUGGUUUAAAUCAUAUUGUUGAUUAUGUUUCCUAAUAUCGGUUACCUUCACAGUUGCAAAUGUCAAUGAGUAGUCGUCGUGUGAAAAUAUUUCGUUGUACCUGUACAAAGGAGAACAAAGUGUCGAUUUAAAUGUAAGAUGACCUUGAUUAAUAAUUGUUAAUAAUUUUGGAAUAAGAAAGAGAUUUUAUUAAACUUUUUAAUCAAACGAAACAUACCCUGCUACUUGUUUAUUUACAAACCACGGCUUCCACGUUCUAUCAACUGAUAAACCAAGAGUGUGGAUCCAUUUUCUUGUUCCGAUGUAGGGGAAAACCAAGUCAUGGUCACCACUGGAUUUUGGAUAAGAAAACCCUGCUUAUGUAUGUGAUUUUAUUUUGCACUAGAAACAAAUUAAAGAUUUACCUGUAUAUAAGAGCUCGACAAUUUUUUUUGGUCAGGUUACGAUGAUAAGCUAUGCUGCUAGCAAUAUCGUAUGAGUAGGUGUCUGUAUCUUUUCGAUUGAUAUCAUAAUGAUCCGUGUUGCACAUC